CUGGCCGUAGAUGCGCCGCCUGUUGUCAACACCGCCAAUCACGUUGGUAGCCGGGACAGGUCGAAGAAAACUUUGCUCCGAUGCCAGGAGGUGAUCCUCUAGAUGGAUUCUUUCUUAUUGGAUGUCGAAGGCGCGUCCGUCUCUAGCAGCAACCGGUCGGACGGAAUUCUUCGCGCAGUCUCGAGCAGCGGUCACUGGGUGCAGGCACCCACUUGUGACCACUGCGAGCGGCCCGCAAAACGCUGUCUGUGGCAGCUUCAGCUUCGGGCUCGCCGUCGUGUCCGCGGUGUGGUUGGCGGCGUCGAGCUCCUCAUCUUCCCCAAGUCUACCACGCCGCGCUUCUUCAGGGCAAGACCGGCCGCUGCACCGCCUCGUCAAUGUAAACGCGUGCCCUGCGAGAUUUAAAACCGCAGAAAAAAUAAGGAAUAAGAAAUCAAGACGGUUUCUGCGCGACGUGGUAUUUGAUGCCAGA